GCCUCCUCUCAUGGUGAAGAUCAUGCACAUAACAUUUUCUUCUCUUCACACUUCAUACACUGUUCUUCCUUAAUCUUUUACUUCUUUUUUCCUCAGCUUUUGCUUUCACUCAUAUUUUUUUUUUCCACAGCUUUUGCUUUCACUCACUUCUAGAAAAUAGUUUUUUUCUUUUUUGUUUAUCUUUUACAGAAACUUGCCUUAUAUCUUGAUUAUGAGUCAAUACUCAUCAUCUGAAUCUUACCCUUGUCAUGCCAAAAAGACACACUCCAAUUCUGUAAAUUAUUUUCCCAUGAACAAACCAUUUUAUGGCUUUUUUAAAUUCAUCAAAUUAUUAUUUGUUCCAUUUUUUUAUUCUACAAUUUCUAAUCCUUUGUUUUAAACUUGUACAGUUCAUGAUUGCAUUCAAUUUUUUUGUGGGUUGUUCAUUCAAGAAAAUUUAAAACGAGAUCCCUUUUGGAUGAAAGGAGGAAGUUAUAUCAUUUCAACCAAAAUUGUUUUGGGUAAAACCAUUUUUUUUGUCACUUUGUCAAGAUCUGGUCAUUGUGAAUGUUUUUCAAAUCCACCCAUAAUUUAAUCAAAGAACUUUCUUUCAUCACACAUUUUUUACUGAUUUUCUUGGUUUAUAGUAUGAUAUGGUGUAUUAAAAUCAUAUCAUAUCAAAUCGUUUCUUUCAUAAACUAUCAAGAGUUCUUAUGGUUUUAAAUCUAAUUAGUUGAUUGUGUAAUUUUCUCUUUAUUCAAUAUUUUUAUUUUCUUACAAACCAAAUCCCUACUUUUUGGUGUAUCCCUAAUUUUUUAUGAUUUAAUUAUCAAUUAAAAAUUAUAAAAAUAUAUGUAUUAACUAUAAAUAAGUAUAGAUUUUUAAUUUGCCCAAACUUUUUGCAUGUCAUCUAGUACACUAACACUGGAUGAAUUUGAUUUGAUAAGAAGGUAUUUGACUGAGUUUUACAAGCAAGUGAAAUUUUUUAAUAUUAUUUUUAAAUUUUUUAAUAUAUAUGCAUAAAGGGUAUUCUCAUAUGCUUUAGUAUGCACAUGAUUAAACAGGUUGAGAUCGUGAUGAGAUUUGAAUAUAAAUUUGCCAUUAUUUCAGUGAAGGUAGAGUUGAGAACAUGCUUAAUUGUUCAAGAAGUUGCUGUUCUAAUUCAGAAGGUACAUAUGGUAACAUUUUCUUUUUCUUGUCUUUCAAAUUUUAUAAGGAAUUGUCACAAGAGUAUAUAAAUCAACAAUAUUUUGUAGAAAUGGUUUAAUUUUACUACAUCAUAUUAAUAAAGUUAUAAUACUAGUAGUGUCUCAUUCUUUUUUCUUAUAAAUAUUUAAAAUGCUUUGGUAAUGUAUUUCAAUAAUGAGUUUUAAUUACUUUUGUUCACAUAAAUUGUAAAUUAAGUUGUUUAAUUGAUCUUAAACAUAACCAAAAUUCCUUUCAAGGAAGAGAGAGAUGAAAAGUACAUAGGGCUUGCCAUAUUUUUGGGGUCACUUGGAUAUUCAUAGCCAUCUUCUUCUAAGAUCUAUAAGUAACAUGUUUGUGUUGUGGGAAAAUGAAUGGAGUAAUCCAAGUUGAGAUCUUCAAAGACUUAACUUGUGGUUCAAACACAUUGUACUCUAGCAUCAAUAAUUCAAAUCAUAAUUGAGCAAAAUGAGAUGAAGCAUUGUUGAUUAUAGAAAUGGGUUAAAACAUUUUCAAGAUUAUAUGACAAAAGGGCAUUUGGAAUGAAGAAAAAGACUUUUGCUUCAAUGGUUUUCAGAGUUACUUAAGCUUUAUGAAUUUUUUUGACCAUGUCAUACUUCUCAAACAAUAACAUUGAUUAAGAAAUCCAAAAUUAUCUAGAUUAGUAAAUAUGUAUAACUUGUAAUCACUCCUUAUGAAAAAAAUGUUUGAGAAGAUGGUAUGUACCCAAAAUUCAUACAACUUUAAGAACUCUUAAGUGAUGUCAUUUUCUUUACUCUAUAAACCCUUUAUAUAAUGGAAUGAUAUAUGUGUUUAACCCAUUUAUUGAACCCAACAAUGUUCUCUUUUGCUCCAUUAUAAUUGGGAAAAAUGCUUUUAAAGGAUGAAGUGUUUGAAUUGACCAUUGCAAUAUCCCACAAAUUCUUCAAAAUGUUAUACUUUGUUCUUGAAAAAGCUUGGCUCUGAAUAUCCACCUGAUCCCAUAAGUGUAGUGAGUCUAUGUAGCACAUCUCUUUCUUCUUUGUUAAAUGGAUUUUUGUUUAGUUUAAUAUCAAGAUGAUUCAACCGACUUAAUCUACAAAUAUGUCCAACAAAAGAAUAAUUAAAAUUAGUAAUUUAAAUACAUUACAAAACUUUUUUAUAUGUAAGUGGAAAUGGAAAAAUGAGACACUAUUAUUAUACAUCUAUUAAUAUACUCCUUUUGUAGUAUAAAAUUGUUGUAUUAGGUUUACAAUACUAUGAACAUUUACAUAAUGUGUUUGUAGUAGGAAAUAUUAAUAAUAGUACAUUAUAUAUAUUUUUUAGUCUAAUUUGAACUACAAUGCUUAUUUAUUUUUUAGAUGAUUAAUUUUUAUGAGAGUAUUUUAUAGUUUGCUCUAUAUAUAUAUGUAAAAGAAAAAAAAUCGAAUUAAAUUUCAAAUGAAUAAUCAUAAUUAUAAAAAAAAAAUUUAAACAUAUUGAUUUUUAAAAUUCACUUUUCAUAUAUCUUGGAUUAUUUUGAAUGGACAUACAAUGAGACAAAGGAUUGAUGUUAAUGGAGGAAUUUGGACAAAAGGAAACACAUGGGUAAAGAAGUCAUAAUGGUGUUCUAUGGAUCUGUCCAACUUUAUCAUUCAACUGUUUAAGCUUCAACCACUACAGCUUCAACCACUACAGUAGCUGGUGUGCUGCGUGAACCAAAUGUGCAUAAACCUCAACUUGUGUGGUUGUUGUCCUACGAGCCGAUGUGUGUUUAGGGUUUGGAUACUUUAUUGGUUGAUGAGACACAAUAAAGUUUUAUACUUGUAAAUUGGGUGGGAUUAGAUAUACUUUUUAAACAUGUGUUUUGUAUGUUUUCUGUCAAUUUACUUAGGUUUAAACUUUGAUUUUAUGUAUAAGGGUUGGGGUAUCCCUGAAAUACCUCUAUUAAUUUAUUUUAUUCUUUGUUGAUAAAAAAUAUAUAAAAUUAAUGAUGAUA
rnacentral:lncRNA from 1 species